UCCCUGAUGGUCCAGUGGUUAGGACACAGUGCUUUCAUUGCUAUGGGCCCAGAUUCAACCCCUGGUCAGGGAA
rfam:TPA: Bos taurus chromosome 15, whole genome shotgun sequence.